AGAGUUUGAUCAUGGCUCAGGAUGAACGCUGGCGGCGUGGAUAAGGCAUGCAAGUCGAACGGACUUUUUAACAGCCCAGAUGAGAUUAUAUCAAGUCAAAGGUAGCUAGAAAGUUAGUGGCGAACGAGGUAGUAAUACAUAGGAACUUCCCCAAGAGUCGCGAAUAAUAUUGCGAAAGCAGUACUAAUACACGAUGGUCUCUGAGACUUUUGUCGAAGAGUAAAGUUUUAACGCUCUUGGAAAGGCCUGUGCGAUAUCAGCUAGUUGGCAGUGUAAUGGACUACCAAGGCUAUGACGUCUAGGGGAGGUGAGAGCCUGACCCCCACCGAUGGUACUGAGACACGGACCAUACACCUACGGGUGGCUGCAGUCGAGAAUCUUCCACAAUGGACGAAAGUCUGAUGGAGCGACGCCGCGUGAUUGAUGAAGUCCCUCUGGGACGUAAAGAUCUUUUAUGAGGGAAGAAGUUUAUUGACGGUACCUCAUGAAUAAGAGGCUCCUAAUCUCGUGCCAGCAGGAGCGGUAAUACGAGAGCCUCGAGCGUUAUCCGGAAUUAUUGGGCGUAAAGGGUGCGUAGGUUGCUACAUUAGUCUUUUGUUAAAACCCGGGGCUUAACCUCGGGAUUGCAAAAGAAACGGCGUAGCUUGAAAGUGCGAGAGGCGUACGGAACUCAUGGUGUAGGGGUGAAAUCCGUUGAUAUCAUGGGGAACACCAAAUGCGAAGGCAGUACGCUGGCGCAUGUUUGACACUGAAGCACGAAAGCGUGGGUAGCGAAUGGGAUUAGAUACCCCAGUAGUCC
rnacentral:rRNA from 1 species